UACGGAGGAUGCAAGCGUUAUCCGGAAUGAUUGGGCGUAAAGCGUCCGCAGGUGGCUGUGUAAGUCUGCUGUCAAAGAGCAAAGCUCAACUUUGUAAAGGCCGUGGAAACUGAAUAGCUAGAGUGCAGUAGGGGUAGAGGGAAUUCCCGGUGUAGCGGUGAAAUGCGUAGAGCUCGGGAAGAACAUCGGUGGCGAAAGCGCUCUGCUGGACUGCAACUGACACUCAGGGACGAAAGCUAGGGGAGCGAAUGGG
rnacentral:rRNA from 1 species